UACGGAGGAUGCAAGCGUUAUCCGGAAUGAUUGGGCGUAAAGCAUCCGCAGGUGGCUAUGUAAGUCUGCUGUUAAAGAGUGAGGCUCAACCUCAUAAAAGCAGUGGAAACUACAUGGCUAGAGUGCGUUCGGGGCAGAGGGAAUUCCUGGUGUAGCGGUGAAAUGCGUAGAGAUCAGGAAGAACACCGGUGGCGAAAGCGCUCUGCUAGGCCGCAACUGACACUGAGGGACGAAAGCUAGGGGAGCGAAUGGG
rnacentral:rRNA from 1 species